rnacentral:lncRNA from 1 species
AAUGUAAAUAGAUAGAAAGAAAGAAAAGGAAUAAUUGUGGUCCAGUUUUUAAAAAAUUGUCAAACAAAUUUAGUCAAGUAUUUGAAUUCAGCACAAAGACAAAGAGGGUGAGAAGUAGAUAGAGGGGAAGAAAAUGGAAAAAGAAAAGAAGCCUGCUUGCUUAUACCACUUGUGAUUUGUUUGUUACCGUCCCCUGCCCGGCCCCUGGUAUGGUUGAUUUUUACCGUCCAAUGUGGGGAGAAAGCUAGAGUAGACUGCUUUGAUGAGAUGGGAUGGGAUGGGAUGGCACCCAACAAUACAUUACUAUUCAAAGUGCGGUUGUAUGGAUGAUGCAUAUUUUCUAUUCGACGAAAUGUCUACCAAGG